rnacentral:rRNA from 1 species
CCUANGGGAGGCUGCAGUGAGGAAUUUUGCACAAUGGGGGAAACCCUGAUGCAGCGACGCCGCGUGAGUGACGAAGGCCUUCGGGUCGUAAAGCUCUGUCAGUAGGGAAGAAAUGUGCGAUGGCUAAUAUCCAUUGUACUUGACGGUACCUACAAAGGAAGCACCGGCUAACUCCGUGCCAGCAGCCGCGGUAAUACGGAGGGUGCGAGCGUUGUUCGGAUUUACUGGGCGUAAAGGGCGCGUAGGCGGUCUUAUAAGCCAGAUGUGAAAGCCCACGGCUCAACCGUGGAAGUGCAUCUGGAACUGUAAGACUUGAGUACUGGAGGGGAGUGUGGAAUUCCCGGUGUAGAGGUGAAAUUCGUAGAUAUCGGGAGGAAUACCGGUGGCGAAGGCGACACUCUGGACAGAUACUGACGCUGAGGCGCGAAAGCGUGGGGAGCAAACAGGAUUAGAUACCCCANUANUC